rnacentral:rRNA from 1 species
UACGGGGGGAGCAAGCGUUGUUCGGAUUUACUGGGCGUCAAGGGCGCGUAGGCGGCGUGGUAAGUCACUUGUGAAAUCUCCGGGCUUAACUCGGAACGGUCAAGUGAUACUGCUGUGCUAGAGUGCGGAAGGGGCAACUGGAAUUCUUGGUGUAGCGGUGAAAUGCGUAGAUAUCAAGAGGAACACCUGCGGCGAAGGCGGGUUGCUGGGCCGACACUGACGCUGAUGCGCGAAAGCCAGGGGAGCGAACGGG